rnacentral:lncRNA from 1 species
AAAAAAUCUAGAAUGGUUCAGUUAUAUUCCAAUCAAAUUAUUUUUUAAAAUUUAUUCGUUCUAUUAUAAUUAAUAAAAAAAUAUUUUUAUUAUAUUUUUAGGGUAAAUUUUAAAUACCAUUCUCGUGGUUUCGUACUUUCUUAUUUUAGUACCAUGUGGUUUCAAGUGUAUCAAGUUAGUAUUUUGUGGUUUUAUUUUUAUCUUUUCGUCGGCUUUUUCGUUAAUAUUUCGUUAAAUUAUAUACAAAAAAUUUCAGGUAUUCCAUUUAGAUUUAUCGAAUAUUCACUUACAAAAUAGAAUUUUCCAAGAAAAGG